CAGAGGGUGCGAGCGUUGUUCGGAAUUACUGGGCGUAAAGCGCGCGCAGGCGGCUUCUUAAGUCUGUCGGUCAAAUGCCGGGGCUCAACCCCGCUGCAUGCCGGGGAUACUGGGAAGCUGGAGACACGUAGAGGCAAGCGGAAUUCCGGGUGUAGCGGUGGAAUGCGUAGAGAUCCGGAAGAACACCGGAGGCGAAGGCGGCUUGCUGGGCGUGAUCUGACGCUGAGGCGCGAAAGCGUGGGGAGCGAACAGGAUUAGAUACCCUGGUAGUCCACGCCGUAAACGAUGGGCACUAGACGCUGGUGGGAUCGACCCCUUCGGUGUCGCAGCUAACGCGAUAAGUGCCCCGCCUGGGGAGUACGGCCGCAAGGCUG
rnacentral:rRNA from 1 species